rnacentral:rRNA from 1 species
UACAGAGGGUGCAAGCGUUAAUCGGAAUUACUGGGCGUAAAGCGUGCGUAGGCGGUUAUCUAAGUCGGGUGUGAAAUCCCCGGGCUCAACCUGGGAAUUGCAUUCGAUACUGGAUAGCUAGAGUUCGGCAGAGGGAAGUGGAAUUUCAGGUGUAGCGGUGAAAUGCGUAGAUAUCUGAAGGAACAUCAGUGGCGAAAGCGACUUCCUGGACCAGAACUGACGCUCAGGCACGAAAGCGUGGGGAGCAAACAGG